GGGGUUGUGGCUCAGUGAUAGAGCACUUGCCUAGCAUGCAUGAGGCACUGGGUUCAAUCCCCGGCAACACAU
rnacentral:tRNA from 1 species